rnacentral:rRNA from 1 species
GUCUAUGGCCAUGCCACCCUGAACAUGCCCAAUCUUGUCUGAUCUUGGAAGCUAAGCAGGGUCGGGCCUGGUUAGUAUUUGGAUGGAGACCACCUAGGAAAGACCAAAAAAAAAAAAAGC